CCAGGUUUCUCGGCUAACGAACAUUAUUGUUUCUUACUGUUCGUUGUCGUCGAAACCUGAAC
rnacentral:pre_miRNA from 1 species